GAACUGAAGAGUUUGAUCAUGGCUCAGAUUGAACGCUGGCGGCAGGCCUAACACAUGCAAGUCGAGCGGAUGAAGGGGGCUUGCUCCUGGAUUCAGCGGCGGACGGGUGAGUAAUGCCUAGGAAUCUGCCUGGUAGUGGGGGAUAACGUCCGGAAACGGGCGCUAAUACCGCAUACGUCCUGAGGGAGAAAGUGGGGGAUCUUCGGACCUCACGCUAUCAGAUGAGCCUAGGUCGGA
rnacentral:rRNA from 1 species